AUUGAACGCUGGCGGCAGGCCUAACACAUGCAAGUCGAACGAGUGGCGGACGGGUGAGUAAUGUCUGGGAAACUGCCUGAUGGAGGGGGAUAACUACUGGAACCGGUAGCUAAUACCGCAUACCAUCGGAUGUGCCCAGAUGGGAUUAGCUAGUAGGGGGGGUAAAGGCUCACCUAGGCGACGAUCCCUAGCUGGUCUGAGAGGAGGAGUGGACACACUGUAGCGGCGACACGUGCCAGACGCAUACGGGGGGCAGCAGAGGGGAAUAUGGCACAAGGGGCGCAAUCCUGAUGCAGCCAUGCCGCGUGUAUGAAGAAGGCCUUCGGGUUGUAAAGUACUUUCAGCGGGGAGGCGUUACCCGCAGAAGAAGCACCGGCUAACUCCGUGCCAGCAGCCGCGGUAAUUC
rnacentral:rRNA from 1 species